rnacentral:rRNA from 1 species
CCAGACUCCUACGGGAGGCAGCAGUGGGGAAUAUUGCACAAUGGGGGAAACCCUGAUGCAGCGACGCCGCGUGAAGGAUGAAGUAUUUCGGUAUGUAAACUUCUAUCAGCAGGGAAGAAAAUGACGGUACCUGACUAAGAAGCCCCGGCUGACUACGUGCCAGCAGCCGCGGUAAUACGUAGGGGGCAAGCGUUAUCCGGAUUUACUGGGUGUAAAGGGAGCGUAGACGGUAUGGCAAGUCUGAUGUGAAAACCCGGGGCUCAACCCCGGGACUGCAUUGGAAACUGUCGGACUAGAGUGUCGGAGAGGCAAGUGGAAUUCCUAGUGUAGCGGUGAAAUGCGUAGAUAUUAGGAGGAACACCAGUGGCGAAGGCGGUCUGCUGGACAGCAACUGACGGUGAGGCGCGAAAGCGUGGGGAGCAAACAGGAUUAGAUACCCCAGUAU